CACCGGGUAAAAGGACAGCAGCGUAAUGUACUGCCAGGUAAAGCCAGUGGCCGUGACCGAGGUGGCGAAGUGUCUGUCUGUCGCGCUGUGUCAUUAAUGUUUAACACUAAGGGACUGGAGUCACCGGACAUAUGAAAAGUCAUGUGAGAAACUGCACUUUACUGAACUGAAGAAAGACAACAUUCACAUCAGACAACGGGAGAGAUGGACAUGAAACAUCUAACGUGUUAGUUUAAAUGAAGACGCUUUGUUGUUUAAGGAGAUACACUUAGAACAAACUACACAAGUGGUGGGGAUGGGGAGAAUUCUGGGCUAUCUGCUGAUCGGCUCAGCACUCUGUAUGGGCGUGGUCAGUCUAACCCUAAGCUACACCUCCAGGGUCAGAGUUCACAAAGGGAGGAGCCUCACACUGCACUGCAUGAACACAACACAUGCAGGAGGGGUCCAGUACUGGCAGACCCCAUUCGGUCAGGUCCUGAACAGCAGUCUUCAUGCCAACCAGAAAGAUGUGGUUACUAUGCAACAAGAUGGUAGCCUGCAGAUCCACAUUGCCUCUCCUCACCACAGCAGCCUGUACUACUGCCUCCUACUGACCGGAGGACAAACUACACUCAUCCUACCUGCUGAGUGCCAGCAGUCCCAUGGUUUCUGACGGUGUGUUUGUGGAGGCGGUGACGGCAUCAGUAGUGGUGACGUUCCUGGUGGGGUUCAGCUCUGGAGCUCUAAGCAGGAGUCUACUGGACUUUAUCUACCUAUAUUAAAUAUUUAUUAAACUGUUCAGUAUUUUACUUCAUGUUAGAUGGUUCCUCAUCCUGAAAGUAGAAUAUAGGCCAGGAGAAACUAAAUCAUGGUUUUCUGAAAUUUUUGUUAUUGUUUAAAUAAAACCGAACCAUGCAUUAGUUUCUCUUGGCCCAUAGACUGCUUUCAGAGUGAAAGUAGUCUAGUUGUAAAACUCUGAACUUUCCAUUUAAACAUCAUCAACAAUAAAUACAGAUACAUUUUACCAGCACUCCUAAGGUGUGUGAAUUGGGUGCGGUCGCUAGGACAGGAACGUCGUAACCAUGGUGAAACAGUCAGCGUGGCAUUCCGGCAGGAUGUGGAACAAGAGGAUGACUCUGCCUCGACGACAAGCAUUAUCAUGGAUAAAGUCAGCCCAUCUCCACCGGCCAAAACUCAGAGAGGCUUCAGGGGGAAAAUGUCAUGAAGAGAACAGUACUUAUCCCCCGCCCCCUGGGCCAAGCAGUGCUCGCUGUCCCUCACCAGGCUCAACACCAUCAUGGCUGCUGCCAGCGCCGGCCCCCUCGACACCCAGAGCCCCCCGGGUAGAGACUCCGACCCCCAGGACUCAGACCCUGACGAAAGGGACACAGCCAGUCCAUCCCAGGGCCAGGAGAAACCAGUCUUUCAACUUGAGAUGUGACAUACAAGAUCUGGGCCUGUAUUCAUAAAGCGUAUGGCUGCUGAUAAAUUAUCCCAUCCUGACCGGUUCAUAUAAAUCUUAAUCAUUACGAAUUAAAAGGCAAAACUGUUUCUAGAUCAGCCCUCCUAGUCUUGAUAAAUGCAGCCCCUAAGCAGAAAGAUCAGGGUCAUGUUCAAUAGAGCAUACAGACACACCGUACCAAAAUGGUUUGGAACAGAAAACAAAAAUGAGUGUUUCUUACUGGAGAACUUUAACAGAUAGUGCCUUGCCAUUUCACUCCAUUGUAAAACAUUUACUCAAUCACAAAUUCCCAGACAAAUUUAAGAUUUUGACUUGUCAUCAAAUCCAGCGG
rnacentral:lncRNA from 1 species